rnacentral:rRNA from 1 species
GACGAACGCUGGCGGCGUGCUUAACACAUGCAAGUCGAGCGGUAAGGCCCUUUCGGGGGUACACGAGCGGCGAACGGGUGAGUAACACGUGGGUGACCUGCCCUCAGCUCUGGGAUAAGCCUGGGAAACCGGGUCUAAUACCGGAUAUGACUCCAUGACGCAUGUUGUGGGGUGGAAAGCCUUGUGCGGCUGAGGAUGGGCCCGCGGCCUAUCAGCUUGUUGGUGGGGUGAUGGCCUACCAAGGCGACGACGGGUAGCCGGCCUGAGAGGGCGACCGGCCACACUGGGACUGAGACACGGCCCAGACUCCUACGGGAGGCAGCAGGUGGGGAAUCUUGCGCAAGUGGGACGAAAGCCU